UAAUAUGUACGACGUUGUAUUAUAAACAAAAAUAAACAAAAUACUUUUUUAUUGAAUGUAAUGUAAUCUUCUAGCAAUCCUAACAAAGGCUAAAUUGCUUUGCAAAAGAAAAAAAGCUGAAUAAAAAGGUAGUUUGUUAGAUAUUAAAAGAAAAAAACAUAAUAAGGGUUUAGGACACAAGAAGGGUUCAAGGGAGUCCAGCUAUUAUAUUCUUAUAAGUAUAGACUCAUCUGUACUCAUAAGUUUACGACUGGUAGUUCUAUUCUUUUAAUUAUUUCCAUCCGUUAUAUCAUAUUAAUCAACCAACCGUCCACUCAACCUUGGGAAAUCACUAUCGUCUUAACUGCACAUUCCUCAUCUAAUGACCGUAAACUUAUGAGUAUAAAGGGGUCUAUACUUAUAAGAGUAUAGUAGUCCUACUGCUCGGGUUUAAGGAGCAUGUAU
rnacentral:lncRNA from 1 species